CGCUCAUCCAGAGGGGCAGAGGGAUACGGCCCGAUGAAGCCCCGGCAACCCUCCAGUCGGCACUCGUGAUCCAUUGACGGAUCGCGAGGCUCCCGGCUCGGGAAGGUGCCAAAUCCGUCUCAUGGCGAAACGCGUCGUGAGAAAGAUGAGGA
rnacentral:ncRNA from 2 species